AUGAAACUGAUCCCUAACCUCCCUUUUCUCCAGGCCACGGGGACAGACCAGGUGGUGGGACUCGGCCUCGUCGCCGUUAGCCUGAUCAUCUUCACCUACUACACCGCCUGGGUGAUUCUCUUGCCAUUCAUCGACAGUCAGCAUGUCAUCCACAAGUAUUUCCUGCCCCGAGCCUAUGCUGUCGCCAUCCCACUGGCUGCAGGCCUCCUGCUGCUCCUGUUUGUGGGACUGUUCAUCACCUACGUGAUGCUGAAGAGCGAGAGGGUGACCAAGAAGGCUCAGUGAAGGUCCUGCGGGGAUGAGGCUGGCAGCCUCUUCUCUGCUUCCCCUCCAGCACAGGGACCAAGUAGGGGAGCCUGCAGAACCUGUCCAGGCACAGUGGCGCCUCAAGCCUGCCUGUCCUGCAGAGUCCCCAUGACAUGGAGCUUACCCCUGCCUGACCGGAGCCCCCUCCCUGACUCCCACUUCCAGAAGCUAGGAGGGAGGAAUACCUGGAAGACUCUAGUCACCCUCUUCUUGCUCAGGGCCUAAAAGGUGCUGGUCUCCCAACCUCACUCUCAGACUCCCUGCCACCUUUUGCCCUGGGUUCUGCCAUUUUGCCUCACUUCCCCUCCUGUCACAUGCUGACAUUGGACUUAGCAGGUUCUAAGUCCGCAUGUGUGACCUCUCUGACCUCUCUCCACAAGUCCUGCUCCUCCAGCAAGGCAGCUUUCCUUUGCCUGACACAGCCCAAGACCCCACAAAGCCUUCUGGACCUGGAACGCCUGGGGAAGGACUGACAGACCCCAGCACCAGCCCUGGGGCUCAGGGCAUAUUAGCUGCUGACCGACCGCUCCCCAUGGAGGCCCAGCCCCAAAGCCCCAGGGCUGGCCUGUUUGGGAGAGCUGACCAAUAAACACUGAUGAUGUGUUAAAAAAAAAAAAAAAAAAAAAAAA